rnacentral:misc_RNA from 1 species
CAGAGAACGCGUCCCCUGGGCGCAUCUCCCACCCUGUGUCUACCUUACUCUGUUGCUUUGGCGGGCCCGUCUCGCGACCACCGGCUCCGGCUGGUCCGCGCCCGCCAGAGGACCACAAACUCUGAUUAUCAUGCCGUCUGAGUUACCACAAAAUACGUUA